GGACGGUGAAGAUAGAAAGAUAGCGCCAGCCCACACUUGCCUCUCUGCGGACGUAGACUUCUGCGGUCCCAGAGAGUUCUGCCAGGGGAGGAUUAGCUCCCCGGCGCUGGAGGGGAGUAAAGCACUUUCGCAAGAGCCUCGCAUUUGCAUGCGCUCCCAGCCCAGACCCUUGGGUGGAGAAUUGGCCUUGCCAAUGCGGUGCUGGAGGCCAGCACUUGGGCAGGGGACCCGGGCGCUUUGUUUCUUUUGCCCAGAACUGGAAGAGGCCCAUUUGAUCUGGGAGGGAGGAAGAGACAUCAGCAAAGAGGGGGAUUAGGAGAGGGUGGCCCUUGUGCUGUGACAGGAGAGGCUAAUUCCAUGCUUUGUUGUCCUAAGACACAGUGCUGCUUCUGAACUAAUGAGACUCAGUUGCUUGGUUGUUCACAGGGAGACCACAGCCUGUGGACAGCAGAGGCAGAGCCCAGAUGUCCUCCAACCUCAUGAAAAAUCAGAAGUGGGCAGAGGAAAUUUGAUUAAUCUCCAAGGAGUACUUGGUCCUGCUUCACAAUGGGAGAUGGUUGAACAGGUGGAGCUUCAACUAUUAGCUACAAAAGAUUGAAAAUCAUAUUGGUCCAACAUACAUGUUAGAUUUGUAAGUAACAGUGCAUUUAAUUACAUGUCACCGUCUAACCCUGCUAUAUUAGAACAGAACUCUCUGAUUAAGGUAUGCUUCAAGGCUCAGAAGGAAUAUGAACGUGAAAAGUGGAAAGACCUAAGGCUUAGUGUAAAAUCCCUGAAUUAAGACCUGACCUUCCUAUUUACCGGCUGCUUAAAAUGUGGACAAGUGUCAAGUCUGGAAUUUCCUUUAUGUUUGCAAAAGGAUAGAAACAAAAUCCUUCCUUAGGCAUCCAUGAAGAUCACUUUAUAAACUGCCACUCCAGCGAGAUAGGCCUUAAACUGCUUGACAACAAAAGCUAUUUACUUAUCUAAUAUGUCUAUGUAUUCUCAUAAUUCUUUGACAAUAAAAAUACGAAUUUUUGCAAUUAUUUUUCCCCAUUGUCAUUUAAAGUCCACUUCAUCAGAGUCAGUAGAGACUGGCUGAGUAAACUUGCUUUGUGAAGUACAGUGGUUAGCAAUGCAGCUUUUGGAAGGAGCUCUAUACGGACUGAUAGUCUUCAAGUUCUAUUAUGUGUGAAGUUUGCAAGAUAGCAUAUUACUAAUUGUAUUAAAAACAUACACAUAGUGUCAACAUACAUAUACUUCACAAAUACUGAUAGAAUAACUGUGGGAAGUUAGGUAAGAAACUAUGAGUUAUAUCAGAAGAGGGAUAUGAGGCCUAGGAAACAAGCAUUUGCAAGACAUUGUUUCUCUUAAUUAUUCAAUUACCCUGCUUCCUUCCCUCUUCCCUCUCCUCUCUUUCUUUUUUCUUUUCUUCUCCUUGUUUAACUUUUUUUGAAGUAGGUAUUACUCAUUCCAAAAAGAAAUCUGGUAAAUCGUGAAGGUAAUAAUCAUAGUAUAGUUUUUAAAUCUCCUCAAAAUUCCCAUAAAAAGGACAAAACAAAUAUGAUUGUAAAACAAAACAAAAUGAGUGCCAAAUUCUUUACUAAAAAAAGUAGGGAAAACAGCACAAAACCUCAAAAAUACAUAUAAAUGUACUGAAACAAGAAACAAGAACAGCAGGAAAAAAAAAAAAAACCCACAAGGUAUUCCCCAAAUCCAUGAAAUUCAGAUACCACAAGUAUUCAUUACAAAAAUGAAAAGCCAUCUCAGUAUAAAAGAUACAGAAAGGCAAUUGAAAGUGCAAUGGAAUGAAAUAGUUCUUAAUUUGUUGGCGGCUGUGAGAAGUUUGAAUUGUGAUGAAGCACUGCAGACACAAGAAUUCAUUGAGUAGUCCAUCCAAGCAUCCCUCAUGUGACAAUGUAAACAAGGUUGAGCCAAUGUCAGUGUUCACAUCCAGUGACAUCAUAGUAAAAAGCGAACAAUGUUCAGAUAUUGUUCCUACAAAUGAUGAAUUUACACUAGAACCUGCCUUCAAAAUAUAAAACUUG
rnacentral:lncRNA from 1 species